UGAGGAACAUGACCUUCGGCGGGGGAUAGCCGGCCCAACGGCCGGGUAAUACCGCGUACGACCACAUGGGGACAUCCC
rnacentral:rRNA from 1 species